rnacentral:rRNA from 1 species
GAUGAACGCUGGCGGCGUGCCUAAUACAUGCGAGUCGAGCGAACGGACGAGAAGCUUGCUUUUCUGAUGUUAGCGGCGGACGGGUGAGUAACACGUGGAUAACCUACCUAUAAGACUGGGAUAACUUCGGGAAACCGGAGCUAAUACCGGAUAAUAUUUUGAACCGCAUGGUUCAAAAGUGAAAGACGGUCUUGCUGUCACUUAUAGAUGGAUCCGCGCUGCAUUAGCUAGUUGGUAAGGUAACGGCUUACCAAGGCAACUAUGCAUAGCCGACCGGAGAGGGGGGUCGGCCACACUGGAACUGAGACACGGUCCAGACUCCUACGGGAGGCAGCAGUAGGGAAUCUUCCGCAAUGGUCGAAAGCAUGACGGAGCAACGCCGCGUGAGUGAUGAAGGUCUUCGGAUCGUAAAACUCUGUUAUUAGGGAAGAACAUAUGUGUAAGUAACUGUGCACAGCUUGACGGUACCUAAUCAGAAAGCCACGGCUAACUACGUG